rnacentral:rRNA from 1 species
CCUACGGGAGGCAGCAGUAGGGAAUAUUGCACAAUGGGGGAAACCCUGAUGCAGCGACGCCGCGUGAGGGAUGAAGGUUUUCGUAUUGUAAACUCCUUUUGUUAGGGAAGAUACUCACGGUUUCUGACGAAUAGGUACCGGCUAACUCCGUGCCAGCAGCCGCGGUAAUACGGAGGGUGCCAGCGUUACUCGGAGUCACUGGGCGUAAAGAGCGCGUAGGCGGGAUAGCAAGUCAGAUGUGAAAUCCUAUGGCUUAACCAUAGAACUGCAUUUGAAACUGUUAUUCUAGAGUAUGGGAGAGGUAGGUGGAAUUCUUGGUGUAGGGGUAAAAUCCGUAGAGAUCAAGAGGAAUACUCAUUGCGAAGGCGACCUGCUAGAACAUAACUGACGCUGAUGCGCGAAAGCGUGGGGAGCAAACAGGAUUAGAUACCCUUGUAGUC